rnacentral:rRNA from 1 species
UACGUGGGGGGCAAGCGUUGUCCGGAUUUAUUGGGCGUAAAGAGCGUGUAGGCGGCUAGGUAGGUCCGUUGUGAAAACUCGAGGCUCAACCUCGAGACGCCGGUGGAAACCGUAAAGCUAGAGUCCGGAAGAGGAGAGUGGAAUUCCUGGUGUAGCGGUGAAAUGCGCAGAUAUCAGGAGGAACACCCGUGGCGAAAGCGGCUCUCUGGGACGGUACUGACGCUGAGACGCGAAAGCGUGGGGAGCAAACAGG